CACAGGUUCGAAUCGAGCCACGUCCCGCCCCCCCGGGCCUACUCAAUGAUUUCCCGGAGGGGUGACAGGCAAGGCCUGGAUUUUAACAGCCCGGAGGAAGGGGGUGUCAGCAACAGACUGCGGGAGCGCGCGUGCCGGAAGCAGGGGGCGCCCCCUUUCCUUCCCUGGCACUGAGACCCCGCGCGCGGGCACCUUUGGAAUGGAGCCGCGGGGCUCUUUGGAGAAAUACGGUAUGGCAACUUUCUCAUGGAGGGAGGGAGAGAAAGGACCACAGCCUGCGUGGGAACAGGAAAGUGGAAGUGGGAGAGAUGGAAUUUUAAAUCGGAGUUCGAAAAGGUCUGAAUUGCAAGGACAGCUGCCUGGGACCAUGCUCCUGUGACGGGUGGCUUUUCAGUGACAUCUGCAUGGCAGUGUACAAAAGACCACAGAUUCCGGUUUCCGUGGGGCCAGGGCAGCCACCAGUUGGCAGAGUUUGGGGACAGAGACAGAAAAUUUCCUCAGCUCCUAAAGCACAAAAAGAAAUACCGCAAUGUUCUGAAUAUCUGCAGACACUCUGAAGAAACAAAUCAUACGUCACAAUGAAGAUACACCCAUUCCAAACUCCCAGGUGACAAAAGAGAGACAACUUUUCAGCUGGUUUCCCGAUCGAUCGGGCUGCUUCCUAAAGCCAGAACUGUUUCAUUUUAUUUUCGGAAAACAGAAGAGAGGCUCCGUGUUAUCUCCACGUCAGGACCCCGGUGGCCUCUUGUUCCCUGCAGCCCUUCCUGGUGUAUCCCCCAAACACUGCUGUUAGAAAACAGUAUCUCCCCUGUCCUCUGGUUGCUCGGAAGGCACUGGCUAUCAGAUCCACCGCCCAGCCCUCCAUCUACCCGAGCAAGCAGCUCCUACACCUGAAACUUCCAGGCUCCACCUCUGUUACACUGCCGUGCACAUGCAGAGAAAAUGCAAAGAGGAAAAGUACAGCCACACAAAUGUUUCCCCAUCAGACUGCAUCUUGAAUAUCAUCUGAGAAAGAUGGAAAGCAUUUUGACACCCAGACUGAGUCGCCUGAUGGAACAAAACCGGUUAAUAAAAAACUGCUCUAACAGGCAUACUACAACCCCACGGAAGUUGUGUUUCGCCGAACAGGGCUGGCAACAUCCACACCCUUGGCUCUCCUGUCGGUAUUUAUUCAGAGGUGGAUUGUCUUGUGUGCCUGGAAACCCUUUCCAUCUUUACAGACAAUCUCUCUGGUUUACUGGGACAACCAUAUUCCAAUGCACUCUUGGUUUCUUAAUUAAAAAGCUGACUUGCUGGA